rnacentral:rRNA from 1 species
CCAAUAGCGUAUAUUAAAGUUGUUGCAGUUAAAAAGCUCGUAGUUGAACCUCGGGAUCAAUGGGUCGGUCAUGCCAAUGGUAUGUACUGGCCUCAUUGGUUCUCACCUUCUAAGGAACCAUGAUGUCAUUCAUUUGAUGUUGUGGGGAAUUAGGACUGUUACCUUGAAAAAAUUAGAGUGUUUAAAGCAGGCUAACGCUUGAAUACAUUAGCAUGGAAUAAUGAAAUAGGACAUCGCAUUCUAUUUUGUUGGUUUCUAGGAUCGAUGUAAUGAUUAAUAGGGAUAGUUGGGGGCAUUAGUAUUCAAUUGUCAGAGGUGAAAUUCUUGGAUUUAUUGAAGACUAACUACUGCGAAAGCAUUUGCCAAGGAUGUUUUCAUUAAUCAAGAACGAAAGUUAGGGGAUCGAAGACGAUCAGAUACCGUCGUAGUCUUAACCAUAAACUAUGCCGACUAGGGAUCGGAUGAUGUUGAUUUUUUAAUGACUCAUUCGGCACCUUACG